GACGAACGCUGGCGGCGUGCUUAACACAUGCAAGUGGAGCGACGAACCGGGGCUUGCCCCGGGGCAGAGCCGCGAACGGGUGAGUAACACGUGGGUAACCUGCCUCAAUGAUUGGGACAACCCGGGGAAACUCGGGCUAAUACCAAAUGUGUUCACUCCUUCCAAGGGGAGUGAGGAAAGGAAGCUUCGGCCUCCGCAUUGAGAUGGGCCCGCGGCCCAUUAGCUUGUUGGUGAGGUAACGGCUCACCAAGGCUUCGAUGGGUAGCUGGUCUGAGAGGACGAUCAGCCACACUGGGACUGAGACACGGCCCAGACUCCUACGGGAGGCAGCAGUGGGAAUCUUGCACAAUGCGCGAAAGCGUGAUGCAGCAACGCCGCGUGGGGGAAGACGGCCUUC
rnacentral:rRNA from 1 species